rnacentral:rRNA from 1 species
CCUACGAGUGGCUGCAGUGAGGAAUAUUGGUCAAUGGGCGCGAGCCUGAACCAGCCAAGUAGCGUGAAGGAUGACUGCCCUACGGGUUGUAAACUUCUUUUAUAAAGGAAUAAAGUGAGGAACGUGUGCAUUUUUGUAGGUACUGUAUGAAUAAGGAUCGGCUAACUCCGUGCAAGCAGCCGCGUUAAUACGGAGGAGCCGAGCGUUAUCCGGAUUUAUUGGGUUUAAAGGGAGCGUAGAUGGGUUGUUAAGUCAGUUGUGAAAGUUUGCGGCUCAACCGUAAAAUGGCAAUUGAUACUGGCAGUCUUGAGUACAGUUGAGGUAGGCGGAAUUCGUGGUGUAGCGGUGAAAUGCUUAGAUAUCACGAAGAACUCCGAUUGCGAAGGCAGCUUACUAAACUGCCACUGACAUUGAUGCUCGAAAGUGUGGGUAUCAAACAGGAUUAGAUACCCGAGUAGUC